rnacentral:rRNA from 1 species
CGACCGCACCCCAGCUCAGGCGG